rnacentral:rRNA from 1 species
GACGAACGCUGGCGGCGUGCUUAACACAUGCAAGUCGAACGAAGAGCGAUGGAAGCUUGCUUCUAUCAAUCUUAGUGGCGAACGGGUGAGUAACGCGUAAUCAACCUGCCCUUCAGAGGGGGACAACAGUUGGAAACGACUGCUAAUACCGCAUACGAUCUAACCUCGGCAUCGAGGAUAGAUGAAAGGUGGCCUCUAUUUAUAAGCUAUCACUGAAGGAGGGGAUUGCGUCUGAUUAGCUAGUUGGAGGGGUAACGGCCCACCAAGGCGAUGAUCAGUAGCCGGUCUGAGAGGAUGAACGGCCACAUUGGGACUGAGACACGGCCCAGACUCCUACGGGAGGCAGCAGUGGGGAAUCUUCCGCAAUGGACGAAAGUCUGACGGAGCAACGCCGCGUGAGUGAUGACGGCCUUCGGGUUGUAAAGCUCUGUUAAUCGGGACGAAAGGCCUUCUUGCGAAUAGUUAGAAGGAUUGACGGUACCGGAAUAGAAAGCCACGGCUAA